ACCAGACUCCUACGGGAGGCAGCAGUGGGGGAUAUUGCACAAUGGGGGGAACCCUGAUGCAGCGACGCCGCGUGGGUGAAGAAGCGCCUCGGCGCGUAAAGCCCUGUCAGCAGGGAAGAAAAUGACGGUACCUGAAGAAGAAGCCCCGGCUAACUACGUGCCAGCAGCCGCGGUAAUACGUAGGGGGCAAGCGUUAUCCGGAUUUACUGGGUGUAAAGGGGGCGCAGACGGCGAUGCAAGCCAGGAGUGAAAGCCCGGGGCCCAGCCCCGGGACUGCUCUUGGAACUGCGUGGCUGGAGUGCAGGAGGGGCAGGCGGAAUUCCUGGUGUAGCGGUGAAAUGCGUAGAUAUCAGGAGGAACACCGGUGGCGAAGGCGGCCUGCUGGACUGCAACUGACGUUGAGGCCCGAAAGCGUGGGGAGCAAACAGGAUUAGAUACCCCUGUAAAC
rnacentral:rRNA from 1 species